rnacentral:lncRNA from 1 species
AGUGCUUGGUGAUUGGGAGGUAACCUGGCAUGAGUACAACCUCUGGAGUUGCUGUCUUGGUGUGUUUGAACAAAGUGUUGCUGGAGGUGUUGAGUCCAGGUGUCUGCAGGUAUAGGGGUCGUGAGCUGAUAUUUACGGAGCCGCAUCACUUUGUAAGCAUCCACAUUGCUAAAGUCAAUCAGGUCAACAAAUUCCUGAGCCUUGUAUUUUUGGUGAGCUCUCUUUCUCAUUCUGCA